UAAAAUUAGGCUUUUUUGUUUUAAAAUCAUAGGUAUCUAGGCAUAUUGGUUGUUUACCUUUUUCAGCAAGGAGGCGUGAUGAUAUCAUGACUUACAAAGAUAUAUUUUGUCCUUUUUCAUGAAGAAAGCUUCAGACAGAGGCGUGAAGGGCCUUUCCAAUACCAGUAAAAUAAAUCGUUUUGCGAGGGCUUAUUUUACCUCGGUUGGAAUAAGAGAAGCUGCAUGGAACAUUUUUGUAUGAAGAGAAAUAUCAUGAACUGCCAGCCAUGACUAGACCAAUGUGAAAAUGUGGAAGAACAUAGAUGUCACAUUCGUGGUCAAGACAUUAAAGAAUGCCGAUGAAGACAAAACAAAGAAAAGUUAAUGUGAUAGUGAGCCAGUCUGAAAAAAUCGAGCACAAGACACGACAUCUAGAAGUUAAACUUUAAAAUGUGCGUAUGGGACAGAAACGUCGACAGAAUAUGACACGUAAAAAUUCUACAAACUAUGCCAUUGUUAAU